GUCCAACUGAAGACUCCCAAAUAGAACGAAACCCGCGUCCUGGAU
rfam:Schistosoma mattheei strain Denwood, Zambia genome assembly, scaffold: SMTD_scaffold0001177